AUUCCUCCUUGCUUUCUUAUGAUACCAUCACCACGUCUUUCUCUUCCCUCCAGUGCCUGGACGAGUACCUGGAGAUGGUCAACAGCGGCGCCAAGAACCAAAACCUUUCACCUAUUUUAUUUGAUCCAGCAACAAUUAAAUAAAAGUGCUGAAGUCCAUCUUGUACGUCUAACGAAACACAACAUGCAAACAAAUACAAGAAGACAGAUUCAAUGUGAAGAUAUAAUUUUUUUCCAGCUAAUUUUGAAAAAAGAAAUCAUGUGGGGUUAAGACCUCGAACAUAUCUUUGAAACUAUGUGGAGGAAAGUGUAACCAUAACCUUGGAUAAGUAUGGUAUUAAUGCAUUAAUACUUCUUUCAUAUCACAGUGCCUAGAACAUGAUGAAACAUUAAAAAAAAAAAAAAAUCAAGCCCAUCUGAACUAGUCUUAUUUUCCUUAACUCUCAAAGAUUGCCGUGGCAGAAACUUGGAAGUAGGGAAGUGAAACAUCAUUUUCCUGGUGGAGCAGGAAAAAGAGUCUUGAAAGUCCUGAAUUCAAAUCCAGUGCUUCUCUUGAGUUGGAAGAAAAAUGAUUUCACCAUAUCCACAUGGCAGGGAGUAUGUACACAGGCAAACCUUUCCCAAGCUCUUGUUGGCAUUGGCAAAAGAAGCUCCUGUCCUGUGCAGGAAACUUAGAGAGUCCACCUGACAACGUCUUCGGUCUGGGAAGUUCAGAAAGAAUGCAGUGAAAAAUGAGUUUUCUUUUUUGUGACCAAGUCAUUUAAAAAGCGUUGAGUUCUCCUCAUGUAGAACAGUUCUAGAAUCUUAGACAAUUCUGCUCUCUCAUACCGGGGGGAGUUUUCUAGACUCCCUAGAGUUUUUUCAAAGCAAAAGGUUCUAAACUUUACAGAGGAAGCUGAUCUGAUGAUUAUUCAAAGCCCGUUAUUUCAUUUCAUUCCAUCUGACAAAACCCUGCUGCUGGAUAUUGUGGAGGACGUGCCUAGUCUCCACCAGUAUCUGAUGUUCUAACCCUAUUGGGCAUGUUCAGGGCCCUUACCAUUGGGUGGGGCCCCAUCUCUGGUCUCUAUCUUCCUCUUCUCUUGACAUGGUGAGGACAAAUAGUAAAGCUGGUUGGGCUUUUGAAUGGCCAUAUAAGCAGCAGUGGUCCUCCUGAGUCACCUAAACUUGCAGUGGAUGUUGAGUGACAGAGAAAAAACUUGUGAGUUAAAAGCCACUAGGACUUGGUGGUUAUAUGAUUGCAUUGUAAUAGCCUACUCUGAUUAAUAUGCAUGUAUAUUUAUUUGGGGACUACAUAACUUACUUGCAGCAAAACAAUGUCUUAUAGUUGACUAAAACUUGGUAACUAAUCUCUGAAAAGCUUGAAGAUUCUGUUACAAAAAACAUUCUAGUUUUUAUUUACAGCCAUGCAAAAAAAGCUUUAAUGCCUGGAAAUCUAUAGCCAUCCUAAAAGUGAUUUUUAAAAUCAUCUUAGCCAUUUUGUUAGCCUAGUAGCUUUAAGUAUAUUUACAUUGUUGUACAAGUAAUCCCCAUACUUGUGCAUUUUGCAAAACUGAAACACUGUACCAAUCAAAUAACAACUCCUAUUUUCCCUACCCUGGAAACCACUGUUCUUUCUAUGAAUUUGAGUAUGUUACAUAUGUUAUAUAAUAAAAGCUGUUUUCAUUUUUGAAGCACA